UACGUAGGGUGCAAGCGUUGUCCGGAAUUAUUGGGCGUAAAGAGCUCGUAGGCGGUCAGUCGCGUCUGCUGUGAAAACUCGGGGCUUAACUCCGGGCCUGCAGUGGGUACGGGCUGACUAGAGUGCGGUAGGGGAGACUGGAAUUCCUGGUGUAGCGGUGAAAUGCGCAGAUAUCAGGAGGAACACCGGUGGCGAAGGCGGGUCUCUGGGCCGAUACUGACGCUGAGGAGCGAAAGCGUGGGGGAGCAAACAGG
rnacentral:rRNA from 1 species